rnacentral:rRNA from 1 species
CCUACGGGAGGCAGCAGUGGGGAAUUUUGGACAAUGGGCGCAAGCCUGAUCCAGCAAUGCCGCGUGAGUGAAGAAGGCCUUCGGGUUGUAAAGCUCUUUUGUCAGGGAAGAAACGGUGAAGGCUAAUAUCUUUUGCUAAUGACGGUACCUGAAGAAUAAGCACCGGCUAACUACGUGCCAGCAGCCGCGGUAAUACGUAGGGUGCAAGCGUUAAUCGGAAUUACUGGGCGUAAAGCGUGCGCAGGCGGUUUUGUAAGUUUGUCGUGAAAUCCCCGGGCUCAACCUGGGAAUGGCGAUGAAGACUGCAAGGCUAGAAUCUGGCAGAGGGGGGUAGAAUUCCACGUGUAGCAGUGAAAUGCGUAGAGAUGUGGAGGAACACCGAUGGCGAAGGCAGCCCCCUGGGUCAAGAUUGACGCUCAUGCACGAAAGCGUGGGGAGCAAACAGGAUUAGAUACCCUGGUAGUCCACGCCCUAAACGAUGUCUACUAGUUGUCGGGUUUUAAUUAACUUGGUAACGCAGCUAACGCGUGAAGUAGACCGCCUGGGGAUACGGUCGCAAGAUUAAAAACUCAAAAGUAGUAAGUAGGACGCGAGAGAGACGACGACGACGACGACGGAGGAGGAGG